rnacentral:rRNA from 1 species
AUGAAGUGGAGCCAAGCUUCUGGCAUUCUCUAUGACAAGAGAGUGCCACAAAAGCUAAAAGGCAAGUUCUACAGGACGGCGGUUCGACCCGCAAUGUUGUAUGGCGCUGAGUGUUGGCCGACUAAAAGGCGACAUGUUCAACAGUUAGGUGUGGCGGAGAUGCGUAUGUUGAGAUGGAUGUGUGGCCACACGAGGAAGGAUCGAGUCCGGAAUGAUGAUAUACGAGAUAGAGUUGGGGUAGCACCAAUUGAAGAUAAGCUUGUCCAACAUCGUCUAAGAUGGUUUGGGCAUAUCCAGCGCAGGCCUCCAGAAGCUCCAGUGCAUAGCGGAUGGCUAAAGCGUGCGGAGAAUGUCAAGAGAGGGCGGGGUAGACCGAAUUUG